rnacentral:rRNA from 1 species
CCUACGGGCGGCUGCAGUGGGGAAUAUUGGACAAUGGGCGAAAGCCUGAUCCAGCCAUGCCGCGUGUGUGAAGAAGGCCUUCGGGUUGUAAAGCACUUUCAGUGGGGAAGAAAGCCUUGGGGCUAAUGCCCUCGAGGAAGGACAUCACCCACAGAAGAAGCACCGGCUAACUCCGUGCCAGCAGCCGCGGUAAUACGGAGGGUGCGAGCGUUAAUCGGAAUUACUGGGCGUAAAGCGCGCGUAGGCGGUCUGAUAAGCCGGUUGUGAAAGCCCCGGGCUCAACCUGGGAACGGCAUCCGGAACUGUCAGGCUAGAGUGCAGGAGAGGAAGGUAGAAUUCCCGGUGUAGCGGUGAAAUGCGUAGAGAUCGGGAGGAAUACCAGUGGCGAAGGCGGCCUUCUGGACUGACACUGACGCUGAGGUGCGAAAGCGUGGGUAGCAAACAGGAUUAGAUACCCUUGUAGUC